rnacentral:rRNA from 1 species
UAGGGAAUCUUCGGCAAUGGACGAAAGUCUGACCGAGCAACGCCGCGUGAGUGAAGAAGGUUUUCGGAUCGUAAAACUCUGUUGUUAGAGAAGAACAAGGACGUUAGUAACUGAACGUCCCCUGACGGUAUCUAACCAGAAAGCCACGGCUAACUACGUGCCAGCAGCCGCGGUAAUACGUAGGUGGCAAGCGUUGUCCGGAUUUAUUGGGCGUAAAGCGAGCGCAGGCGGUUUCUUAAGUCUGAUGUGAAAGCCCCCGGCUCAACCGGGGAGGGUCAUUGGAAACUGGGAGAGUUGAGUGCAGAAGAGGAGAGUGGAAUUCCAUGUGUAGCGGUGAAGUGCGUAGAUAUAUGGAGGAACACCAGUGGCGAAGGCGGCUCUCUGGUCUGUAACUGACGCUGAGGCUCGAAAGCGUGGGGAGCAAACAGG